rnacentral:lncRNA from 1 species
GCUUUCAAACUUUUUCAUUUUCUUUCGAUGAAAUACAUAUUCUGCAAUUGUGGCACUUUGUACUGUGCGUGGCACUUUGCGGCGCUCUGGCCCUCAAGAGGUGGCCCCCAAUGCAAAAUCUCAUAAAACAGAAAUUCCGUUUGCUAAAAUCCACUUUCUCAUUCAUAGAAAACUCAAUACAUUUUCGUGCUCAUGCCAAUGAACCAUCACACAUACAUAUGCCCAUGUACAUAAUCACGCCCCUUACAUAACAACACAUCACAUAAACACAUGAGCAGAGACAUAUAAAUCCAUAUUCGUACAUAUCAAAAUAGGCUUUUCAUACAAGUCAAACAUAUAUAUUAUUUAUUGUGAUUCGUUUUAAAGUCUAGUUCACUUACCUCUUGGCAUCCUCAUGUAACAAAUGCGUACUGAUACCAUUAACCUAAAAUCAUCAAUAAAUUCUCAUAAAAUAUAAUCAAAUCUCAAUCAUAAACUCCAAUGUCCUCAAAUAUCUCAAUUUAAACAACUCCUAAGCUCAACCUCAAAUGUCCUCAAUAAUCGGCCCUCAAAACAUAACAGUUCAUACUUCUAUGAUUUUUAAUAACUUAUUCUCUUAUUGGAAGAAUCUCAAAUUUUACAAACCAUAUGCUUACACAUUGAAAGUUCAUUGAUAAAAAUUUCAUAACAUAAUUCCUUCCAAAACGAUUGAAAAUAAUUCACGAUUUAGACAUCAUCAAUACUGUCAAACAGUUUUCGGUUUUGAACACACUUAUUUUAAAAAUACAAAACAAUUUAUUUCUUUAUCAUAAAAUCAUGAAAAUUUCCAGAAUCAUACUAGACAUAUAUAAAAAUCAUUGGUCCAAAUUUCAUAAUUUUUGAAGAAGUCUAGAUAUGAUAAAAAUAAUUUCGUAAUUCACUGAAAUCAUAAAUUUCCAGGUUUUCAGACUUGAAUUUGAAAAAUCAUAAUUAAUUGAAAUCUUAUCCGAUUAACUUGAAACAAGUUUCAAAACAUAUUGGACGAUGUCUAGUUUAACAUACCCAAAAAUCAGAAUCAAAAUCAAUUUGUACAAAUUACUAUGAUUUUCGAAAUAAUUCACUGUCAGCAUAUUUAUGUAAAAUCUUUGAUUUCUACUUCUAUUACAAUCAUGCUUCUCCACAACAAUUUAAUAGAAACCAAUAAUUAAAACGUACCUCCAAAACUUCUCCCAACAAUAACAACCUGAUCCCAUGUGUUGUCUAUGGCAAAAACUAAGAAGAAGAAGAAGACUUUCUUCUUCUUCUUUUUUCUUUUCUUUUCUCUCUUGUCUCUCCAUCUCUCUUUU